GACGAACCGAGCGAACGUUGUUCGGAAUCACUGGGCUUAAAGGGCGCGUAGGCGGGCGGACAAGUCAGGGGUGAAAGCCGGCAGCUCAACUGUCGAAGUGCCCUUGAUACUGUCUGUCUCGAGGGAGGUAGGGGCGUGCGGAACUUCCGGUGGAGCGGUGAAAUGCGUAGAUAUCGGAAGGAACACCGGUGGCGAAAGCGGCGCGCUGGACCUCUUCUGACGCUGAGGCGCGAAAGCCAGGGGAGCGAACGGG
rnacentral:rRNA from 1 species